CUGAGUUAUCAAACUCCCAACCAUUGUGAACCUACCUAUCGUUGCUUCGGCGGGCUAGCCCUCAGGCGCCUCGCGGCCCCCCUCGGGGAACAGGCAGCCCGCCGCAGGCGUCCAAACUAUAGUCAUACUAUUGCCUCUCUGAGUAGACUUAAGCAAAUAAAUUCA
rnacentral:misc_RNA from 1 species